AUAGACAUUUUAUUCCAGCCUUGUGUAUACAUCCGUCCGGCCAUUGGGUAAACGAGAAAAACGAAAAACGAAUAAAAACAUAAACUGCCUGAAUAUAGCCAUCGUGUUUAUGGGCUGUACUACACGUGAAAUUCCAGCUUGCCUUUAGGCAUGGGCCCAAAAGGCAGCACUCGGGCCUGUUAAUUUAUAGUUGUCCAGACAAAGAACACGUUUUGCGUUCAAGAAUAGCCAUCAUAAAUGUUGGUGUACUGCUUUAAAUAGCUCUCAAAUGCUCAUUUAAUGACGCAUCAAGGUAUUCGGAAUGAACGUGUCAAGAUUAAUUUCAGUCGCUUUCUUAUUGUAUCUACAUAAACUGUUACUUUUAGCUUCGAGCUGUUGGUCGAUUACAUUAUUAAACAGGUGGCUAUGGUUUAAUUUUGACGAGUUUUGCCAUGGCGUUU